GCCGUGUGGCGCCGGGCGGCCGCUGCUCCCCCACGCGCGGCCGGGGUCGGGAGCCUCCGCUCCCCGCCAGGGCGCUGCGGCGAGGGGCGCUGCCCGCCCGCCGAGGAGGCGGCCCGUUGCGGCGGGGCCCGCGCUCUGCCCCCGCCCCCUCCGCCCCGCCGAACCGAGGAGCGGACGGACGGACAGACGGGGCUAUCGGAGGCAACGGCUGCUCGCAAGCCGCCGGCUGUGAGGAGGAGGACUGCCUUUUGGAUUUUGAGACACUUUGAUGUGGUGGUGCAGAACUACCUAGAGGAUUAGACCUGGACGGUUAGGAUUUAAGAUUUUGACAAAGAAAACCCAGUCAGAUUCAAACCUUCACGAUUGCUCCAAAGGAAGAGAGCAUUAAGUUUUCAGAAGGAG